UGCCUAUUAGCUCAAAUUGGUAGAGCAAUGUGCUAUUGCACAUAGAUGUAGGUUCGAAUCCUACAUAGGUUG
rnacentral:tRNA from 1 species